GUCUACGGCCAUACCACCCUGAACGCGCCCGAUCUCGUCUGAUCUUGGAGGCUAAGCAGGGUCGGGCCUGGUUAGUACUUGGAUGGGAGAUUCCCAAAUGUUCAGGUUUUAAACU
ensembl:rRNA 5S_rRNA 5S ribosomal RNA